GCCUGGCUUGCUCAGUUGGUAGAGUAUGGGACUCUGAAUCUUGCGAUCAUGAGUUCAAGCCCCAUGUUGGGCA
rnacentral:tRNA from 1 species